GUGUGUGUGUGUAUAUCGCUGGAGGUGUGUGGAGUUAAGGAAAGAGGUCAUUAUGGAGUUAAUAAGGAAAGAGGUCAUUAUGGAGUUAAUAAGGAAAGAGGUCAUUAUGGAGUUAAUAAGGAAAGAGGUCAUUAUGGAGUUAAUAAGGAAAGAGGUUAUUAUGGAGUUAAUAAGGAAAGAGGUCAUUAUGGAGUUAAUAAGGAAAGAGGUUAUUAUGGAGUUAAUAAGGAAAGAGGUCAUUAUGGAGUUAAUAAGGAAAGAGGUUAUUAUGGAGUUAAUAAGGAAAGAGGUCAUUAUGGAGUUAAUAAGGAAAGAGGUUAUUAUGGAGUUAAUAAGGAAAGAGGUCAUUAUGGAGUUAAUAAGGAAAGAGGUUAUUAUGGAGUUAAUAAGGAAAGAGGUCAUUAUGGAGUUAAUAAGGAAAGAGGUCAUUAUGGAGUUAAUAAGGAAAGAGGUUAU